rnacentral:rRNA from 1 species
UACAGAGGUCUCAAGCGUUGUUCGGAUUCAUUGGGCGUAAAGGGUGCGUAGGCGGCGGGGUAAGUCAGGUGUGAAAUCUCGGGGCUCAACCCCGAAACUGCACUUGAUACUGCCUUGCUCGAGUACUGUAGAGGAUAGUGGAAUUUCCAGUGUAGCGGUGAAAUGCGUAGAUAUUGGAAGGAACACCAGUGGCGAAGGCGACUAUCUGGACAGAUACUGACACUGAGGCACGAAAGCGUGGGGAGCGAACGGG